GAUGAAGAACGUAGCGAAAUGCGAUACUUGGUGUGAAUUGCAGAAUCCCGUGAACCAUCGAGUCUUUGAACGCAAGUUGCGCCCGAAGCCAUUAGGCCGAGGGCACGCCUGCCUGGGCGUCACACGUUGUUGCCCCCCCAUCUACUCCUUCGGGAUUGCGGGGGGCGGAUGAUGGCCUCCCGUGCGCCUUGUCGCGCGGUUGGCAUAAAUGCCAAGUCCUCGGCGACGCACGCCACGACAAUCGGUGGUUGCGAAACCUCGGUUGCCCGUCGUGUGCGGUCGUCGCGCAUCGAGGGCUCGAAAAAAUUGUCGGGCUCCGGCUCGGCUUUCAACGCGACCCCAGGUCAGGCGGGGUUACCCGCUGAAUUUAAGCAUAUCAAUAAGCGGAGGA
rnacentral:misc_RNA from 1 species